GAACCGCAUGGUUCUUGGCUGAAAGAUGGCGUAAGCUAUCGCUUUUGGAUGGACCCGCGGCGUAUUAGCUAGUUGGUGAGGUAACGGCUCACCAAGGCAAUGAUACGUAGCCGAACUGAGAGGUUGAUCGGCCACAUUGGGACUGAGACACGGCCCAAACUCCUACGGGAGGCAGCAGUAGGGAAUCUUCCACAAUGGACGCAAGUCUGAUGGAGCAACGCCGCGUGAGUGAAGAAGGCUUUCGGGUCGUAAAACUCUGUUGUUGGAGAAGAAUGGUCGGCAGAGUAACUGUUGUCGGCGUGACGGUAUCCAACCAGAAAGCCACGGCUAACUACGUGCCAGCAGCCGCGGUAAUACGUAGGUGGCAAGCGUUAUCCGGAUUUAUUGGGCGUAAAGCGAGCGCAGGCGGUUUUUUAAGUCUGAUGUGAAAGCCCUCGGCUUAACCGAGGAAGUGCAUCGGAAACUGGGAAACUUGAGUGCAGAAGAGGACAGUGGAACUCCAUGUGUAGCGGUGAAAUGCGUAGAUAUAUGGAAGAACACCAGUGGCGAAGGCGGCUGUCUGGUCUGUAACUGACGCUGAGGCUCGAAAGCAUGGGUAGCGAACAGGAUUAGAUACCCUGGUAGUCCAUGCCGUAAACGAUGAAUGCUAGGUGUUGGAGGGUUUCCGCCCUUCAGUGCCGCAGCUAACGCAUUAAGCAUUCCGCCUGGGGAGUACGACCGCAAGGUUGAAACUCAAAGGAAUUGACGGGGGCCCGCACAAGCGGUGGAGCAUGUGGUUUAAUUCGAAGCAACGCGAAGAACCUUACCAGGUCUUGACAUCUUUUGAUCACCUGAGAGAUCAGGUUUCCCCUUCGGGGGCAAAAUGACAGGUGGUGCAUGGUUGUCG
rnacentral:rRNA from 1 species